rnacentral:tRNA from 1 species
ACUUUAAUAACCCAAUAUAAAUCUUUUAAAUUUGAAGAUGUAUCCACUUUGACUACCUCGAAGGA